rnacentral:rRNA from 1 species
ACCAACAGGGAUUGCCUUAGUAACGGCGAGUGAAGCGGCAAAAGCUCAAAUUUGAAAUCGGCCACCAGGUCGAGUUGUAAUUUGUAGAUUGUAUCUUGAGAGCGGAUUAAAGUCUGUUGGAACACAGCGCCUUAGAGGGUGACAGCCCCGUAAAAUCUAUUCUCAUUGUAAGAUACUUUCGAAGAGUCGAGUUGUUUGGGAAUGCAGCUCUAAGUGGGAGGUAAAUUCCUUCUAAAGCUAAAUAUUGACGAGAGACCGAUAGCGAACAAGUACUGUGAAGGAAAGAUGAAAAGCACUUUGAAAAGAGAGUGAAAAAGUACGUGAAAUUGUUAAAAGGGAAGGGUAUUGAAUCAGACUUGGUGCUGUUGUUCAACUGUGUUUCGGCAUAGUGUACUCAGCAGUACUAGGCCAAGGUGGGGUGUUGUGGGAGUGAACAAGAAGUUGGAAGGUAACUCUUCGGAUUGUUAUAGCCUACUUACAUAGCUCCUCAUGCGCCUCAGGACUGCGCUACGGCAAGGACCUUG